GGGGUUGUAACUCAGUGGUAGAGUGUUCGCUUCGCAUGCGAGAAGCCGCGGGUUCGAUUCCCGCCAACUCCA
rfam:Anaeromyces robustus strain S4 BCR32scaffold_554, whole genome shotgun sequence.